rnacentral:rRNA from 1 species
CAUGCAAGUCGAACGGCAGCGCGGGGCAACCUGGCGGCGAGUGGCGAACGGGUGAGUAAUAUAUCGGAACGUACCCUGGAGUGGGGGAUAACGUAGCGAAAGUUACGCUAAUACCGCAUACGAUCUAAGGAUGAAAGUGGGGGAUGCGCAAGCACCUCAUGCUCCUGGAGCGGCCGAUAUCUGAUUAGCUAGUUGGUGGGGUAAAGGCCUACCAAGGCAUCGAUCAGUAGCUGGUCUGAGAGGACGACCAGCCACACUGGAACUGAGACACGGUCCAGACUCCUACGGGAGGCAGCAGUGGGGAAUUUUGGACAAUGGGCGAAAGCCUGAUCCAGCAAUGCCGCGUGAGUGAAGAAGGCCUUCGGGUUGUAAAGCUCUUUUGUCAGGGAAGAAACGGUGAGGGCUAAUAUCCCUUGCUAAUGACGGUACCUGAAGAAUAAGCACCGGCUAACUACGUGCCAGCAGCCGCGGUAAUACGUAGGGUGCAAGCGUUAAUCGGAAUUACUGGGCGUAAAGCGUGCGCAGGCGGUUUUGUAAGUCUGUCGUGAAAUCCCCGGGCUCAACCUGGGAAUUGCGAUGGAGACUGCAAGGCUAGAAUCUGGCAGAGGGGGGUAGAAUUCCACGUGUAGCAGUGAAAUGCGUAGAGAUGUGGAGGAACACCGAUGGCGAAGGCAGCCCCCUGGGUCAAGAUUGACGCUCAUGCACGAAAGCGUGGGGAGCAAACAGGAUUAGAUACCCUGGUAGUCCACGCCCUAAACGAUGUCUACUAGUUGUCGGGUUUUAAUUAACUUGGUAACGCAGCUAACGCGUGAAGUAGACCGCCUGGGGAGUACGGUCGCAAGAUUAAAACUCAAAGGAAUUGACGGGGACCCGCACAAGCGGUGGAUGAUGUGGAUUAAUUCGAUGCAACGCGAAAAACCUUACCUACCCUUGACAUGUACGGAAGCCACGAGAGAUCGAGGUGUGCUCGAAAGAGAGCCGUAACACAGGUGCUGCAUGGCUGUCGUCAGCUCGUGUCGUGAGAUGUUGGGUUAAGUCCCGCAACGAGCGCAACCCUUGUCAUUAGUUGCUACGAAAGGGCACUCUAAUGA